CAUUAUCUUAUGUUUUUAGUCCUUAUUUAAUGACAAAUCAUGAAGUUAACUUACGUUUGUUGCUUCCAUUUUUGUAAAUGUUGCUUCCAUUUUUGUAAAUGCACAUUCUUAAAAAGCGACCCAGCAACUACAAAAAAAGAAUUACCGUAUUUUUCGGACUAUAAGUCGCAGUUUUCCGGGGGUGCGACAUAUACCUUAUGCGACUUAUGUCUGAAAUGUUUAACACAUUACCGUAAAAUAUCAAAUAAUAUUAUUUAUCUCAUUCGCGGAAGAGACGAAGAAAAGUCAGCAAUCGUCACACACACAUCAACCAAUAAGAAUUCGGCGGGGGAGGGUCAUGGCAAAAGUGCAUUGUGGGUCAUGGAAUGCUAACUGCUAUAUGCUAUAUGCUACUGCCGUAGCUAUUAGAAUGGAUAAUUUCAUCGUUGGGGGUAACUUGCAAAAACUGAGAAGGGCUGAACAAAAAUGGCACCGAAAAGGAAAUCAUGUACUGCAGAUUACACAAUAUCAAAUUAUAUUAUUUAUCUUAUUCGCGGAAGAGACCAAGAAAAUGUCAGCAAUCGUCCCACACACGUCAGCAAUCAUCACAUACACGUCAACCAAUAAGAAUUCGGCGGGGGAGGGUCAUGGCAGAAUUGAUUAGAAGCGACAUCAAGGAAGAAGAUUUCAUCGGAUUUAUCGAUUAGGAGUGACAGAUUGUUUGUUAAAUGUAUAGCAUGUUCUAUAUGUUAUAGUUAUUUGAAUGAAUCUUACCAUAAUAUGUUACGUUAACAUACCGGACACCUUUUCUGUUGGUUAUUUAUGCGUCAUAUAACGUACAGUUAUUCAGCCUGUUGAUCACUAUUAUUUAUUUAAUUUAAAUUGCCUUUCAAAUGUCUAUUCUUAAUGUUGGAUUUUAUCAAAUAAAUGUCCCCCAAAAAUGCGACUUAUACUCCUUCUUUAUUGUGCAUUUUCGGCCGGUGCGACGUAUACUCCAGAGCGACUUAUAAUCCGAAAAGUACUGUAAAAAAAGACAAUAUACACUUCAUUGCGCAUGUACUAUAUCACUAUAUCGAUGAUUAAAUGCUUUAUUAUUCCACAAGCGUUUUCCAGCGGCACAUGCAUGUCUAUGUACAUUACAUAGGCAGUUAAACAUGUAAAACGUUUUCCUUGGCUCGUUAGUACGUGUUGAUUUUAGAAAUGAUGUACACUUCACUGCCCAUGCAAUACAUCACCAUGUUGCUGAACACGUUAUAAUUAUAUUAGUGUUGGGUUUCAGCAGUACAGCUGUGCAUGCGCACUGUAAACACUGAAAAAAAAAAUACGCAUAUUCCAAGGGCUCUGU